ACGGCUAACCUGACCAAGGGAAGGGCGAAAGUCGCCCAAGGUAAUGAGUUGGUGAUUGGGGUG
rnacentral:rRNA from 1 species